rnacentral:lncRNA from 1 species
ACUUCAUAUGCGGAUAUGAUGGUAACGUCAAGUCUAGGAGACUCAAAAUUUGCUGGAGUCUUGAAUCAAGACUCCAUUUUUGGUCCCCAAGUUCAUGCAAGUAAAAAGAGGGUAAAGGGAUUAGUAAGACGAUUCAACUUUAAUUGAUAGUGAAUAAAUCAAAUAUAUAUAUUAUCCCUCACACAAGAUAUGCAAGCGCCAAAUAAUAUACACAUUUAUCUAUUGAAGACUUUUAAAACCAAUAACAAAUAUAUUUUGAGUAUAAGCUAAAUCUCAAACCCAUCAAAUUUAAACUAGAAGUGAAAUAUUAUUUCUAUGAAGCAUGAAUAAUGAAAAAUGACAGAGCUGCCUUAUACUUGAGAAUUGAGAUAAUAGUGACUAAAAAGACUAAAAAUAUGUGUGCAAGAACAUGAAGUAGAACUGCAAAUGGGUUUGUAUAAGCAUGAUCAACACAAUAUUUUAAAAUAAAUAAAAUAACAACCAUCUUUUAUUAAAAUAUGUUUCUGCCUAAAAAAAAUACAAACAAACAUAAGCUACAAAAUCCAUAUUAUAUGAGAACCAAAUGAAUAUUCACUUACGAUUAAAUUUUUUUGUUGAAACUGAAGCAAAAGCGACUUAUGCCGUCAACUUCAAUUGAACCCUAAUAUUUGCCGAAAAUGGUCAAUCAGGCCACUGGUCAGCCUGUUCUUAUGGCUGACCAGUCACCCUUCACUACUACCGACAACAAUUUUCCUUCAUUACCACAACCCCUAUCGAGCCUAUUUUGCCUAGAGUUUCUUCGCCUGCCAAAGAAACCCCAUCACCUUUGGAACCUUAUGUCAAACUUCUGAAACCUUUAACGAUUAAUGCUCCAAAGACACAGAGUAAGCAAUCAAUUGAACCUAUUCCUAUUAAAAAGUUGAACUACAUCAAUGGUAUUCCUCGAGUUAUGUGGAAUGAGGAAGAAGUGGAUCGAAUGAUUGUAAUUAAAGAGUUACAAUAUGCAACAAUAGGGAAAAUUUCCUAUGGAUGGCCUAAAUUAGAGGAUCUUCGCAUCUAAAUCCCUAUAUAACUCAAAGUGAAAGGAGAUUGCAGGAUUGGUUUCUUGAGAAAUCAUCACAUUCUUAUGAGAUUCAACUUGAUUAAGGAUUUCGUUAAUGGUAUGUCCAAGAACAUCUACUAUAUCAAUGAUAAGGAUGGUUAUUCCUAUCAAAUGAGACCCCUAAUCUAUGAUGCUAAAUUCAAGAUUGAAGAGGAAACAUCUCAAGCAAUGGCAUGGAUCGCUUUCCCUGACCUCAAGCCAACUUUCUUUAUGAAAGAGUCACUAUUUCCACUCGCAUCUGCAGUAGGGAAACCGAUUCAUUUGGAUUUGGCAACGGUAAAUAAAACAAGACCUAAUUGUGCUAAGGUCAAGGUGCAAGUGGACCUUUUGGCUGAUUUACCUAAGUGUGUGGAGACGGAGAUUGUUAAAUCCACCACAAAGGAAUCAAGGGUUGAACAGGUGAAAAUUAAGUACGAUUUUUUACCUAAAUAUUGCAAGAAGUGCAUGUUACAAGGUCACAAUGAGCAAGAAUGUAGGGUACUUCAUCAUGAACUUAAACAGGUGCAACUAGAAAAUGAGGAAAAAGACGUUAAUGAUCAUAACGAAAAAGUGGAGACCACCACAUCAAGGAAACAAGCAGGGAGAAACACUUACCAAAGGCAUCAAUGGAACCCAACCAACAGAAGGUUCAUUAACAAGGGUUAUCUUAGUGAGAAAGUUAUAUUACCAGAUAAAGUGAUUACCAAUGAUAACCCCUUUGAAGCACUUACAGAAGAAGGGGAUGAUCACAUUCCUGUUAAUAAUACAAAUAUUACUUCAAUAUCUAAAGCUCAAGGAAUUAAUAAGCAAGGGGAAAUAUUUGAGAAUCAAAUGUCCACCAAGGAAUGGAUAUCCAGUUCAUUCCAUAGUCAUGGAAAGGAGAAGCAAGCAACACUACCAGCAAGCAUCACAAGCAAUACUGUAGAUGAAAAUCAAAGGAAAUCGGCGGUAAACAAUGGAGAAAAAUACAAAUAGCAAAAGAACAUAGUAAUGAUUGCAUCCUUACAUCUCCUGCCAACUCAGGGGGUGAACAAAGUCCUGCAAACAAUCAGCAAAGUGGUCAGCAAACCCAUCAGAAAUAAACAAGAAGUACAUGCGAUCCUGCAGAUCAACAACAAAUGAAGUUGGUGGAAUACACAGGAGGAAAACAGCGAACAACAGAAGAAUACGACUUGGGUGGUGAUCAACUAAAGAGCCUUGCAAAUAAUCAGCAAAGUGGUGAGCAUUUCCAUCAGAUACAUGCAACAUAAAUUAUAACUACUAAUGCACAAGUUGGGGAGAUGAAGUAAUGGAGGACAUAAGACAAUAACAAUGAUAUAGGGAUAGUGCACUAACAAUAGUAGAUAUCCCUUUAGUUGUUGAAGAAGCACUUCCUUGGAGUGAAUCUCCUAAUGAAGUGCUAGAUAAUAUCCUAACCCAUAAUGUUCAACAGGAUGUGGAGGUUUGUGGUUAGGUGGAAGCAACAGAAGAAGACAACAUCACUGACCAACAUAAAGAACAAAUACAUAGAGAUGCUUAUUUGUCCCCAAGAGUUAUUAAAAGCCUUAAAUAUGCAAGGAAGGGGGGAAAGCAAGGAAAUGGAGAGGUUCCUCAACCUAUUAGAUUGCAACCCAAGAGAGGAGAAGGGUCUCAACCAAUGAAGAAAUGAGGAAAGCAUUUAUAUGGAAUAUUAGAUUUGUUAAGUCACAAAAGGCUUUUCAGAGAGUACCGAUGUUGAACAAAUACCAUAAAUUUUCUUUCAUGGCACUUCUUGAACAUUUUCAACACACUAAGCACAUAAACAGAUACAGAAGCAGACUACAUAUGCCUUUAAUGUUUCAUGACUGUAAUGGCAAAAUUUGGUUAUUUGUGAACCAUGGUUUUACAACUACUUUGAUUAGUGAUACUAAGCAGUAGUCAUCCCUGAAUUUGUGUAACCAGACACUUGGUAUUUAUUUCUUGGUGACUAUUGUUUAUGGAAAGUGUGAUAAAAAUCUGAGGAUGGACCUAUGGGAAAAUAUUCUUUCUUUAUCCAAUGGAUUCAAUAGGCCCUGGAUCUUAGGAGAAGAUUUCAAUGCUGUUUUGAAUGGUGCAUAAAAGAUAGGAAGGAUCCCAGUGGUUGCUGCUGAUGUUGAAGAUUUCAAUAUUUGUGUUGAAGCCUGUGAUGUUUUGCAAAUUCAAUAUAAGGGUAGCCCAUUUACUUGGUGGAAUGGUAGAGCAGGUGAUGAUUGCAUCUUCGAAAGGCUUGAUAAAGUUUUUUCGAAUCUGAGUUUCAGGGAUUGUAUUCUCAUGUAGAAGUGGAACAUCUGACUAGAGAUAGCUCAGAUCAUGCCCCCUUACUAUAAGCUGUGAGAACAGAAAUAGCAGGCUCUAAAGGCCUUUCAAGGUCUUAAAGUUUUGGACAGAGCAUGAAGAUUUCAAAGAAGUGGUCCGGAGGGGUUGGGAUUCAAGCUUUACGAAUAACCCCUUUCUUGACUAUAAAAGGAAGAUCAAGCAGGUGAGAAAAGCUCUCACUAUAUGGAGUAGACAGGCAUAUGGGGCUAUCUUUCAACAACUACUCAUCAGGGAAGAGAUAGCCAAACUGAAAGAGAAACUAUUUGAAGAGUUCCCCUCUUAAGAGAAUAGAGAAGUCAUGCAAAGAGCUAAAGCUGAGUACACCAGAUAUCUACAUUUGGAGGAAAGCUACUGGCAACAGAAAGCUGGAUAUGAUUGGUUUGAAAAUGGAGAUUGAAAUACUAAAUUUUUCCACAUCAUAGUGAAAGGGAGAAGAAACAGGUUGAAGGUGACAAGAUCUAUUAAUGAGUCGGGUUGUUGGGUAGAGGAAAAAGACCAAAUUGUUAAUGAAGCAAUUGACUAUUAUCAAAAACAAUUCACUCAAGAGAUGGAUGCAUAUGAUUUUUCACUAUUGCAUCACAUUCCAGAACUGGUUACAGAGGAGGACAAUGUAGUUUUAGGGGAAAUACUAGUUGAAUCAGAGAUAAGGAAGACAAUCUUCAGCUUAAAUGGUGACAGUGCUUGUGGGCCAGAUGUCUUAUCAGAAAAGUUUUUUCACUCUUGCUGGGAUAUAGUAGGUGUUGAUGUGGGUAGAAUGGUGGCAGAGUUCUUUACAGGAAACACCCUCCCAAAGUCUAUUACUCAUACUAAUCUAGUACUCAUCCCGAAAAAAGAUAAUGUGCAGUCUUUUUCAGACCUGAGGCCUAUUAGCUUAAGUAACUUUGUUAAUAAGAUUUUAUUAAGAAUUGUGCAUGAUAUAUUGGAGAAUAUUCUUCCCAAAUUGAUUUCUCCUAACCACUGGUUUUUUCAAAGGGAGAAAUAUCAUUGAGAAUGUGCUCUUAACACAGGAAUUGGUUGUUGAUAUAUGGAAAAGAGAAAAACCUUCUAUUGUAAUCUUGAAGCUGGAUAUGGCUAAGGCCUAUGACAGAGUAUCCUGGUUUUUUUAAUGAAGGUUCUUAGAAAGAUGGAAUUCUCUAAUGGGGUUGUAGAUGUGAUUUGGAGAUUAAUAUCUAAUAAUUACUACUUUAUUCUGUUAAAUGGCCAAUCUGUUGAUUUUUUCAUUCUACUAGGGGGUCAAACAAGGGGAUCCGCUUUCCCCUACUUUAUUUAUCUUAUAUGUUGAAGUUCUAACUAGAGCUCUUAAUCAUCUUUGUGAAGAUAAUGCCUUUGUGGGUUAUGGUAUGCCUAAGUGGAGCUCCAACCUCAAUCACGUAGCAUAUGCAGAUGACACUAUCAUUUUAGCCUCAUCUAAUAAGCACUCUAUUGGAAAGAUUAUGAUGAUUUUGUAGUAGUAUGAGCAGGAAUCAAGGCAAAAGGCGAAUAAGGAUAAGAGUCUCUUCUAUAUGCAUCAAAAUUCUUCCAGGGAGGUUGUGCAGCAGAUGGAAUUGGAUACAGGUAUGACCAAAGGAACGUUUCCUCUUAAGUACCUAGGAUGUCCCAUUACACAUUCAAAGAAAAAGAAGGAGCACUAUGAUGAUUUGUUGGACAGAGUGAGGAGUAAACUCCAAGCAUAGAAGGGUAGGCUUCUAUCAUAUGGAGGAAAGGACGUUUUACUAUAAAAAUGUUCUACAAAGCAUCCCAAUUUAUUUUCUUUCAGCUAUUGUUCCUCCUAAAAGUGUUUUUAAAGAAUUACAAAGAAUUUUGCAAAAAUUAUUUUGGCAUUCCAAAGAGACAGGAAGGAGCAAACACUGAUCUAUAUGGAAUAAGGUUUGUUUGCCAAAGGAUGAACGGGAUUUAGGGUUCAGAUCCUUAAAAGAAGUUUCUCAAGCAAUGUAUGCUAAUUUGUGGUGGAGGUUCGGGACACAAACUAAUUUGUGGUCUAACUAUUUAUGGAAUAAAUACUGCAAGAAACAGAUUCCUACAUUGGUGCAAUGAAGAGGUGGAUCUCAAGUGUGGAAAGCAAUGAUGGAGAACAAGGAAAAGAUUGAGUCUUUUUUAUGAUGGGAACCAAGAAGUGGAACCUCAACAAUUUGGUUUCAUAACUAGACCAACUCUGGUCCUAUAUUUCUUCAUUCAAUAGAGGUACAAUAUUGCCAUCCUAUAAAUGAUGUUGGUGAUUUUAUUAAAGAGGAUGGUUGGGAUUAUGGUGCAAUGCAAGAUGUAUUCCCAGAACAUGUCAUUGAACAUGUUCGAGAUACUAUGAGAUUUGGUCAAUUUGAGAAUGUAAUGGACAAGCUAUGGUGGACUAAAAAUAGUACGGGCAAAUUCACUACUAAGAGUGCUUUGGAAAUUUCGAGGCAAAGAGUGGAUGUAAAUAAAGAUCUAAAGGCAAUAUGGAGUAAAAGAUUACCCUUCAAAUUCUCUACUCUUUCUUGGAUAAUCUGGUUGGGUAAGGUUCAUGUAUCAACUCUUUUGCAUUUGUGGAACCCUAAUAUCUCUGAGGAUUGUGGAUGCUGUAAUAGUUCAGGUAGAUAAACAAUAGAACAUUUAUUUCUCAAAGGGGAGGUGGCAGAUAGAGUGUGGAUUCACUACUGUAGGGCAACUGGUAUUAUUGAUCAAAGACUUAAAUUAAAGCAAACUAUGAGAAUGUGGAAAAAUAUUGAAGGUAAUAGUAAGCUACGAGAAGUUUUCAAGGUACUUCCUAUCAUCCUUUUCUGGGUUUUUGUGGAAAAGAAGAAAUACCAUCCUACAUGGUGGCUCAUACCAUGAAAGAAAGGUAUACUGGGAAUUCAAUGACACUAUUUUGAAGUUUGCUAAGGUCAUAUUCAAUUUAAAUAUAUAAGGGAGAAGAUGAAUAGAUAUUAUUGAUGUUUUGCAGAACAAUAGAACUACCUCUGUAACCAGAAUUGUAAAAUGGGUUCCCCCUCCCAAUCCUUGGUUUAAAGAAACACUGAUGGUUCCUCAAGAGGGAACCCUGUACCUAGUUCUUUUGCUUUCUGUAUUAGAAAUGGGGAAGGAGAUUUGGUAGUUGCAAGAGUCUCAAGAAUUAAGGACACUACCAGCCUUAAAGCAUAAGCUACAACAAUAAGAGGGUGCUUCCUCUACUGUAAAGACAAUGUUAUCCAACAUAUCAUUAUAGAAUCAAAUUCUUGGAUUAUGGUGCAAAUUCUUCAAGGAAACUAGGAGGUCCCAUGGAGUGUGACAAUGAAGGUCAACUCCAUAAGAGCACUAAUGUGUAUUAUAUCAGUAAGAGUAAUACAUUCCUUUAGGUAAGGUAAUACUCUCGCUGAUUUUUUUACUAACUUAGUUUUUGAUUUUGCAGGUGAUUUUCAAUUUAAUAACUUUGGUGAAAUUCCAACAACAGGAAGAAGGAUAGUAAAUUUAGAUAAAUCAGGAACACCACAUCAGAAGAUCCGAUCAAAACUCAUGAUAUCAAAAUUCAAGGAAGAUAUAACAAUACUUUUAUAAUGGGAUAUGCAAAACAAUAACAAUAAGGCAACUUACUAUAGAUGUUGGAAGCACCUGUUUAUGGGCAUCAACAUCUGGUAGUUUGUGAUCUUAGUGUUUCUGUUAGUAAAUCCUGCAACAAAAUUCAAAUGAUUAUCAAACACUCUCCUGUUGAAACGAUUUGAUCGAUUGGUGGUAUUAUCUUAAAAAGCUCACAUUGACUUAAAAAUUGAUAAAAGAGGAAUACAAAGUGGACACCAUUGGACUUACUGGAAAAUGUUGCAGAUGGUUUGAAUAGGGAUGUAGAACAUUGACCAUGUUUACAAAGUUUGCUUCGCAGACAACAUUGAAAACAUGAUGCAAAGAAGUUAAUUUGUGCAUUGGGUACCGUUUUAACAUUAGAGUAAGGAGUUACAAUAAAGGAAAAGGUGAUACCUAUUGUUAGAAGUGAUUUCUUUGGAUGCAAACACCUACACCCAGUGAGACCUUGGGGUGUUAAUGGUACGAGUAUCCAAACAAUAGAUCCACCGAUUCUGAUAUGUAGCUCUAACUAUUAAGACAUGGAAACCUGUUGGCAUCAUAAGGACAGGUUUUAUUGUUUCUAAAUCGAUUCUUUUGAUAUGAUGGUGGUAUUAGCUUCUUAGAAGUUCAUUCCAUCGAUCUAAUGAAAAGAGGAAGAACAAUUAAUCACGAAGGAUUCGACACUUAGCUUAGAGAUGGAGCUUUGAGCUGAUAGUUGAGGAUGAACAUCGAAGCGGAGGAGGAUUUUUCCAAACCAAGUUAACAGUAGAUCAAAUCUACGGUUAUUUCGUUUGAGGAAGAUGAAGGGGUGGAGCUUUCUACCUACUUUCCUAAUUAUGCAGAUGACCUGUCUCUUUGCCUAUAUUUUUUGUUUUGCUUUAAUUUUUGGGCUAGGUAACUUUUGGGCUUUG